ACCACAGACCAGAACUCCCAUUUUAAUUCGCUUCCUCUUGAAGAGUCAGUUAUUUCAAGUAUCUUGUUAUAGUUCCGGACAGUGGACUGACAGACAGGAAAGUCCUGGCUUGCUAACCUGUCUUUCAAGGCACAGAGGAAAAAGCUAAGACCUAGGAGCAGUCUGAGACUACUCUCCUUUCGUUUCCAAUGCUGUGACAAAAUGGGUUCUUUUGGCUCGAUUUGCCUGCAUAGACGCGGUGUCCGGAGUCUGAAGCGGCUGGUCACAUUGCGUGCAGCCAGGAGGCAGAGAGAGGAAUGGAAUGCUGGUGCUCGCCUCACUUUGUUUUUUAUCCAGUAGUCCCCUGCCCACCAGUUCUUGUCAUCCACAUUCAGGGUGGGUCUUCCCUUCUCCACUAAGCCUUUCUGGAAACACCCUCAUAGACACGCUCGGGAGUAUGUUUCCAUGGUGAUUCUAACUCCAGUCACAUCGACAAGGAGUGUUCGCCAUCCCCGCUUGUUAAUACGGUGGCUUUACUGACUGACUUGAACACCGCACCAGCUCCUCACUCCCGGCAUGAGCUCCUUUUGGCCGUUUGGAUGAUAAAUUGUAUCGCUUGAGAAGCCCACAGGAGGCCCACGUUAAACCCUGCUUCUUGCUCUGUCUGUGAAGAUGUUCCCUGGCAGAGAGGACAUUCUUCUGAUCUAUAAAAGAUGAAAAGACCGGAAGGACAGUUCAUGUUUUCCUUCGAUUUCCCCCAAAGACCUUUCUUGGUAGUCUCAACAGAUGAUGUCAGGGCAGUGUUAUGGCAAGCAUUUAGCUUUGGCGAGCAUUUAGCUGUCCCUACUUGGCUUGAGGCUGACGUUAGUCUCAGCUCCCUUGACAUGAGUUUGCUUGUGACACGCAAAUCUUCAACACUGUCGUUGUAUGGGAUUGUAUUCUCCAGCCACUAACGUCCUCCUGCUCAGGUCGAGUGGUAUCCUGGAAGUUCCUGGAACACACCGACCACAUUGCAGCUGCACAAUUCUGACCCUUACCCUUGCUGGAGCAUCCUCAUCCCAGAAAUAGGGUAAUUUGUGCUGGGCAGUGGUGGUGCAUGCCUUUGAUUCCAGCACUCAGGAGGCAGAGACAGGUGGAUCUCUGUGAGUUCAAAGCCAGCCUGGUCUACAGAGUGAGUUCCAGGAUAGGCUCUAAAAGUGGUACCUGUGGAUGCCAGAAGAGGACAAGGAACCCUUGGAGCUGAAGUUACAGGUGCUUGACGUGGGUGCUAGGAAUCAAACUGGGGUCACCUGGAAGAGCAAUUUCGUCAGGUUUCUUCUUCAAGGAAAUCGCGCUCUGAUCUCUAGAGAGUGGGUACUCUUUAUUACCUGAGAACAAAGAUGUGGCAGAGUGUGUGGAGGGCACGGCAGAGUCAAAGUGCUCUCCAUGGAGAGUAAAGCUCUGGAGAACCCGGCUGGGAGCAGGCUGCUGGACCCAAAUCCUGGUGGGCAUGGCAGAGUCAAAGUGCUCUCCAUGGAGAGUAAAGCUCUGGAGAACCCGGCUGGGAGCAGGCUGCUGGACCCAAAUCCUGCUGUUACCACCAACUAACCCAGUGUCUCUUCUGUAAACUGGCGAGAGGAGUACUCCUACCCCAAAGAGUGUUCUGAAGGAUAAAAGCAGGAUCGAUACGAUGGCUCGGCCAGUAAAAGUGCUUCUGUGUGAUCCUGACUACUCAAUUUGGUCCCUCGAACCCAUGACGGAAGGAGAAAACCAACUCCUGCAAGCUCUCCGUGUUGACUGAAGUGUUGGCUCUAACUGCUGGGCAGUUUUCUGUGGCAUGUACACACCACCAAGUGCAUCCAUGGCUGAAGGAAAUCUGGACUGCUUUCAGUGUGAGGACAAUUAGGAAUCGAGCUGCUAUAAGCCUUCCACAUACGAGAUUUUGUGUGAACAGAAGUUUUCACUGCUCUGGAGCAAAUGUCCAAGAGCCUGAUUUCUAUGUCCUACAAUAGAAUCACGCUCAUCUCUUUAAGGAACUGCCAGGCACCACGGCUCCCAUGUAUGACUUCCUGUCUAUGAACAUGGUACAACUUCCCAUUUAUUUAGGUCACUUAUUUCUUUUGUAUUGGUAUGCAACGGUCAGCGUUCAAGAUUCUUACUCUUUUUGUUAGAUUUACACCUCAGUGUUUCAUUUUUGCGGAGCUGAGGGUUGUAUUUUGUUGUUGAUACUCUUACAUCUGUGUCCAUUGCUUGGACAUAGGAAUACAGUUGAUUUUUCUGUUUAUCUUGUAUCAUGAGCUAUGUGCCGUGGCAUAUGUUUUAUGCUCAUAAAACCAAACAGACACAAAUCAUGACAACAGCAACUGCUGAAAAACACUAUGACCAAGAGUAACUUAUGGAAGAAAGAGUUUAUUCUGGCUUAAAGUUCUGGAGAGGAAGACCAUGGCGGUGGGAGAGACAUGGCAUUGGGGAGACAUGAUGGCUGGAACAGAAAGCUGAGAGAGCAUGUUGUCAACCACAAACAUGAAGCAGAAAGUGAACUGAGAGUUGGAUAAGCUGGCCCCUGUGACAUGCUUCCUUCAGGAAGGCCACACCUCAUGAACAUUCCGAGACAGCGCCACCCACUGGGAAACACGAUUUCAAAUACCUCAGCCUCUGGGGGACAGUUCUCACUUAGGUCACCAUAGUCACCUAACAGCCUUCACUGGAGUUAUUUUACCACCUGGAAGGAAGGAGAAAGAUUAUCUACAAGCAUCUAGAAAACAGUUACAAUAUUCUCACAGUGUUAGAAUCUUUCUACCUUCUAAUAGAAGUUAGAAGACUCAAGAGGAGAAAGGAAGUCUGUGGUGUUUACCACCCUUCACCUUCUGUUCCCCUGACGUUCAAGACUCUUUUUGUUGUUUAUUUUUUGUUUAAAAAAUUUUUAGUCACCAGGCAGUGGUGACACACACCUUUAAUCCCAGCACUUGGGAGGCAGAGGCAGGCUGAUCUCUGUGAGUUCGAAACCAGCCUGGUCUACAGAGUGAGUUCCAGGACAGGCUCCAAAGCUACAUAGAGAAACUCUGUCUUGAAACAAACAAACAAACAAACAACAACAACAAUAACAAAAAAAAGUUUCCAGUCAACAUUUUAGGUCUUCUGGCAACAGGAAACCUUAGCUCACCACCCCCUACCCCAGGAGGAUCUGUCACAUGAAGAUCUGAAAGAAUUUAUUCAGUCUAGGUCUACACCACCAAGCAAGAUGGAAGGUUGGGCAAUUGUUCUUUGACUCAAUGGCAAAUGGGCUAUCAGAGCUGUGAAGGGAUGUCUGGGCUCAUCCGAUUCAGCCUCGGUCGAAACAGGAUCCCUCCAGAUGUCUACCAGCCAGAGAGUGGGUGUCGGUGCUGCUUGUGUGGCACAGGUUGCCGGGAGGUCCUCACCUUGCCAGGCAGCCCAUGCGACCAUUGGACAACCCAGACUGCCACAGCCGUAGCUUCUAUUCAUGGAUUCUAGUUACCCCAUUUAGAUGACAGCGUAAAUAGGUUCACUACGCUUCCUGGAGAGCUUUCCAAAAUGACAAGGUGAAGACAGCCAUGGCGUCUCCCUGGGUGAACAAUCCUGACACUUAAGAGGGCAGGCCUGGCGACACGCAGGAGUUCUCUGUUCCGGGCAAACCUGAGUGUGCACUGCAAGGUCAUCUCUUCGCUGGAGGCUGUGACCUUGAAAGCCUGUGCUCCAUCCACACAAGGCAAAGCCUCUCAAAUGACGCAGCUCUCCCUUUUCCAUGGAGGCAAGCUUUCACCAUGUCCAGGCCCGAAGAGCUCAGCAGCGUCUACACCAGCCCCUCCUUUCUCCAGAAAUGGGAGGGUCCUGCAUAACCAAGACAUUGCUCUUCUGCAAAGAGCUGAGAGCUGGGCAUGGCAGCCCAGAACUGUCUGUAUUUUUGAACUUGAGAGGUGGAGGCAGGAGGAUCACAAGAGUGGAGCUAGCCUUGGCUACAUAGUAAAUUCAGGGCCAGCCUGGGCUACAUGAGUGCGUGAGACCUUGUCUCAAAACUAACAAACAAACAAAGUCCUGAACCGCCACCCCCAAAUAUUUGUAUCUGUAUCCCAAAUAUUUGAAUAUUUCUCGCACAGCACCAUUCUGGUGUGAGUGGUGAUGAGGGAACACGAUGAAGACACAGAGAUGGGGAAUGACAAGACACUGUUCAUCCUCCGCCUGGAGAAACAUUUUAUUUUCAUGAACGUGACGAUGGACUAACCAAUCACAGCUAGAAAGGGAACUGACCGCCGGGACUCUGUGGCCUGUGGACCCACGGUGUCCCUGCUUCACUCCGUCUCUGUGGAGGGUGGUCCUCAGAGCUCGUACAUGCACAAUGCGGAAGCUCAGAACAGAUUGACCGCGAGUUUACUGCAGAUCGGGUCAGAGCGCUCGUCAGGUGUGUGACUGCUUUUUACCUCAGAACUUCCUUAGCCAAAACAAAGAAGACAAGAGAAGGAGGGGCAGGCAGGGAGAGAAGGAAACAGGAGGAAAGGGAAGGAAGAAAGGAGGAAGAGAUGGGGGAAUUAAGUUCCAAGGGGUGCAUUAGUUGUAUAAAAAAGAAAAUGGUUUUAGGGCUGUGGUGUAGCUCAGUGAUAGAACACUUGCCUGGCUUGUGCAGGCCCAGACUUUGAUCUUACGCAUUGCAUA